GGCUAUCAUGCAAGUCGAGCGGACAGAAGGGAGCUUGCUCCCGGAUGUUAGCGGCGGACGGGUGAGUAACACGUGGGUAACCUGCCUGUAAGACUGGGAUAACUCCGGGAAACCGGAGCUAAUACCGGAUAGUUCCUUGAACCGCAUGGUUCAAGGAUGAAAGACGGUUUCGGCUGUCACUUACAGAUGGACCCGCGGCGCAUUAGCUAGUUGGUGGGGUAAUGGCUCACCAAGGCGACGAUGCGUAGCCGACCUGAGAGGGUGAUCGGCCACACUGGGACUGAGACACGGCCCAGACUCCUACGGGAGGCAGCAGUAGGGAAUCUUCCGCAAUGGACGAAAGUCUGACGGAGCAACGCCGCGUGAGUGAUGAAGGUUUUCGGAUCGUAAAGCUCUGUUGUUAGGGAAGAACAAGUGCGAGAGUAACUGCUCGCACCUUGACGGUACCUAACCAGAAAGCCACGGCUAACUACGUGCCAGCAGCCGCGGUAAUACGUAGGUGGCAAGCGUUGUCCGGAAUUAUUGGGCGUAAAGGGCUCGCAGGCGGUUUCUUAAGUCUGAUGUGAAAGCCCCCGGCUCAACCGGGGAGGGUCAUUGGAAACUGGGAAACUUGAGUGCAGAAGAGGAGAGUGGAAUUCCACGUGUAGCGGUGAAAUGCGUAGAGAUGUGGAGGAACACCAGUGGCGAAGGCGACUCUCUGGUCUGUAACUGACGCUGAGGAGCGAAAGCGUGGGGAGCGAACAGGAUUAGAUACCCUGGUAGUCCACGCCGUAAACGAUGAGUGCUAAGUGUUAGGGGGUUUCCGCCCCUUAGUGCUGCAGCUAACGCAUUAAGCACUCCGCCUGGGG
rnacentral:rRNA from 1 species